UGAGAUGAAAUCUUUGAUUGG
rnacentral:miRNA from 1 species